GACGAACGCUGGCGGCGCGCUUAACACAUGCAAGUCGAACGGAAAGGCCUGCUUUCCCUUGUGGAUUGCGGGUACUCGAGUGGCGAACGGGUGAGUAACACGUGAGUGAUCUGCCCCCAACUUGGGUAUAAGCCUGGGAAACUGGGUCUAAUUCCCGAUAGGACUGCAGGGUGGUGCCUGUGGUGGAAAACGAUUUUCUAGUGGUUGGGGAUGAGCUCGCGGCCUAUCAGCUUGUUGGUGGGGUAAUGGCCUACCAAGGCGGCGACGGGCAGCCGGCCUGAGAGGGUGGACGGACACAUUGAGACUGAGAUACGGCCCAGACUCCUACGGGAGGCAGCAGUGGGGAAUAUUGCACAAUGGGCGGAAGCCUGAUGCAGCGACGCCGCGUGGGGGAUGACGGCCUUCGGGUUGUAAACUCCUUUCGACCGCGAGGAAGCCACCUGGUUGGAAGGGUGGUGACGGUAGUGGUAGAAGAAGCACCGGCUAACUACGUG
rnacentral:rRNA from 1 species